AUUGAACGCUGGCGGCAGGCUUAACACAUGCAAGUCGAGCGGUAACAGUCCUUCGGGAGCUGACGAGCGGCGAACGGGUGAGUAACGCGUAGGAAUCUACCUGAUAGAGGGGGAUAGCCCGGGGAAACUCGGAUUAAUACCGCAUACGCCCUACGGGGGAAAGCAGGGGAUCUUCGGACCUUGCGCUAUCAGAUGAGCCUGCGUCGGAUUAGCUAGUUGGUAGGGUAAAGGCCUACCAAGGCGACGAUCCGUAGCUGGUCUGAGAGGAUGAUCAGCCACACUGGAACUGAGACACGGUCCAGACUCCUACGGGAGGCAGCAGUGGGGAAUAUUGGACAAUGGGGGAAACCCUGAUCCAGCCAUGCCGCGUGUGUGAAGCAGGCCUUCGGGUUGUAAAGCACUUUCAGUAGGGAGGAAAGGGUGAUGGCUAACAUCCAUCAUCAUUGACGUUACCUACAGAAGCAGCACCGGCUAACUUCGUGCCAGCCGCCGCCGUAA
rnacentral:rRNA from 1 species